GUUGCAGCUCUCAAGUUCCACUUACAAAUAUAGGAGUGAGGAAUUCAAGAGACAGUUUUCUCACCUGCCAGACUCAGAGAGACUCAUAGUAGAUUAUGCCUGUGCACUCCAGAAGGAUAUCCUGCUGCAAGGGCGCUUAUAUCUCUCUGAAAACUGGCUCUGUUUCCACAGCAACAUUUUCCGAUGGGAGACCACAAUUUCUAUUGCCUUGAAGGAUAUCACUUUCGUGACAAAGGAGAAGACUGCUCGGCUCAUUCCAAAUGCCAUACAAAUAGCAACAAAAGGAGAGAAGUUUUUCUUCACAUCAUUCAGUGCAAGAGACAGAAGCUACCUCAGUAUCUUCCGUUUAUGGCAGAAUGUGUUGCUGGAUAAG